CCCGGGCUCAACCUGGGAANUGCANUGGAGACUGCAAGGCUAGAAUCUGGCAGAGGGGGGUAGAAUUCCACGUGUAGCAGUGAAAUGCGUAGAUAUGUGGAGGAACACCGAUGGCGAAGGCAGCCCCCUGGGUCAAGAUUGACGCUCAUGCACGAAAGCGUGGGGAGCAAACAGGAUUAGAUACCCUGGUAGUCCACGCCCUAAACGAUGUCUACUAGUUGUCGGGUCUUAAUUGACUUGGUAACGCAGCUAACGCGUGAAGUAGACCGCCUGGGGAGUACGGUCGCAAGAUUAAAACUCAAAGGAAUUGACGGGGACCCGCACAAGCGGUGGAUGAUGUGGAUUAAUUCGAUGCAACGCGAAAAACCUUACCUACCCUUGACAUGGCUGGAAUCCUUGAGAGAUCAGGGA
rnacentral:rRNA from 1 species